UGCCAGACUCCUACGGGAGGCAGCAGUGGGGGAUAUUGCACAAUGGGGGAAACCCUGAUGCAGCGACGCCGCGUGAGUGAAGAAGUAUUUCGGUAUGUAAAGCUCUAUCAGCAGGGAAGAAAAAAGACGGUACCUGACUAAGAAGCCCCGGCUAACUACGUGCCAGCAGCCGCGGUAAUACGUGGGGGGCAAGCGUUAUCCGGAUUUACUGGGUGUAAAGGGAGCGUAGACGGCAAUACAAGUCGGAAGUGAAAUACCCGGGCUCAACCUGGGAACUGCUUUGGAAACUGUAUGGCUGGAGUGCCGGAGGGGCAGGCGGAAUUCCUGGUGUAGCGGUGAAAUGCGUAGAUAUCAGGAGGAACACCGGUGGCGAAGGCGGCCUGCUGGACGGAUACUGACGCUGAGGCCCGAAAGCGUGGGGAGCGAACAGGAUUAGAUACCCUUGUA
rnacentral:rRNA from 1 species